UGAAUCGAGUGGAGGCCGUUUGCCCAAUCAGAGGGUGAGACGUCACACUUCCGGUCUGUCUGGUAUGGCCCCAGUCAGCUCGCAGCUCUCUCUGUUUGUCCACCGACAUGCUGUCGGUCGGACGCUUCGUGUGAGCAGCAGAUAACUAAAAUUCCCUCUAUGGCUUCUCGAGCGGGUCCGAGAGCGACGGGCACAGCCGGCAGCGACUUCAGCACCGCGUCGCUUCACACGACCAGAUGAGGUGACAGUAAGCCAGCUGAGGUGGUGGGAGCACCCUGACCUGCUCAGCAUCAUCCCGACAGUUUUCUGCUUCUUGGCGCUGCCCCACAACAACAUCAGCUACCUGGUUAUCUCCACGAUCAUCUCAGGACUCGUCUGAUCUACAGCUCUGAGAUGUUCCCGUUUCAUCUUCAGCUUUUGUGGACAAAGAGGAGCGACUCCCAAAACUUUUGUGAUCUUUUUCUAUAUUAGAACUGUCCCUGGACUGCUGCCAUCUGUCUGUACAUUAAUCAUGAUCAUUUCAUUAUUUAUAAACUGUAACAUGUAAACUGUUUUGGAAACAUUAAAAAUACAUUUAAGACUG